UUGGUUAUAGUUUAAUGGUAGAACGAUAGGUUGUGGCUCUAUUAAUGUAGGUUCGAUUCCUACUAACCACC
rnacentral:tRNA from 2 species